rnacentral:tRNA from 1 species
GCGAGAGUGGUGGAAUUGGCAGACACGCCAGACUUAGGAUCUGGUGCCUCGGCAUGAGGGUUCAAGUCCCUCCUCUCGCAGGA